AUAUAUAAUGAACAUCUAAAUUCAAAAUCUCACAAGAAAAAAAAUAAUAUAAGGUGAAAUCUUAUUCUUAGACAAUGGAAUUCCUUAACUGCAAAAAAAUUAAUCUUUUCUGGAUUUUGUUCAUUGCUUUGUUUUUGCUUUCAGAAUUAUCAAGUGGAGAGAAAAAUAUUUUUGGAUUAAAAUGUCAACCUGGAGAUUGUCCACCUAUUCCUCAAUGCAAUCAAGAGUGCCUUAUGAAGGGAUAUAAAGCUGGUGGUACGUGUUAUGGAUUUUUUCCGAAGAUCGUUCGUUGUUGCUGUCAUGAAGCAUGAGUUAUUGUACUCUUUAAUACAAGUGAAUAAAUAAAAUGCAUGCUUAAUGUAUGUUUAGAAUUCAUAGUUAUAAGAAUAUAUAUUGUGUGAAAUUAAAGAAAUUCUUGAACUUGAAUAUUAUAUGCAAGUUAAAAUGUAA